rnacentral:rRNA from 1 species
AUAUCAAUAAGCGGAGGAAAAGAAACCAACAGGGAUUCCCCCAGUAACGGCGAGUGAAGCGGGAAGAGCUCAACUUUGGAAUCUCGCCGCGUCGAAGCGGUGCGAAUUGUAGUUUCAAGGCCAACGUUCGGCGGCAAGCCUCGUCCAAGUCCGUUGGAACACGGCGCCACAGAGGGUGAGAGCCCCGUUCGGCGAGGUGCAAACAGGCUGCCAUGUGACGCUGAGCCAAAAGGACG